UUUAUGUCUAAUUCUGUAAUCAAGUCGUUUAAGUGAAGUGAAACUUGGGGUACACAACACAAAUCAGAAUUCUGAAAGGGGUACAGUAGUCUGGAAAGGUUGAGAACCACUGUCAUAGGGGACUGAAACGUGAGUAGAUUUUCUAAACAUUGUAUGUUUUAGUAACACCUAUUUAACUCAAACUCUUUUCAUUUGGAGAAAGGAAGGUUACUUACUUUACAGUACCUGGAAUUCUUUGAGAUGUGUGAUCCCCAUGGGUAUACCACUGUGGGUGUUUAUGGGCUUCAUGCACUGAGACUGUCCAUGCCUUUGUCACCUCAUGCUCUGACCCAAGGGCAUAAGGGAUGGCAUAGCCUGACCGCCUCUCCAAUUCCUUCUCUACUGUGAAUCACCUGAGGAAAGGCUCUGAAGCCAAGGAGAAGGAGGAGGGUAGGCAGCAAAAUACCCAUAGGGACCAUACAUCUCAGAGAACUCCAGUUAUUGCAAGGUAAGUAACCUUCCUUUCUUCUUUGAGUGGUGGUCCUGAUGGGGUAUUCCACUGAGGAUGACUCACAAUCAGUAUUCAUAGAGGAGGAGGGUGCAAGGAACCAUGCUGCGCUACAGACUGCAGGACCCGUAUACCACGCUGAAGGAUGUGCUUGUACCAGACUCUAAUAUCCAGGAGGGGAACACCCUGAAGAGAAGCCCCUGAGGUAGCCUUAGCUCUAGCCAAGUAGAAAACUAAGGCACAGCAGACAUACAGAGAAUGGAGCUUCCUGUCUUCUUUGGUGCUGUGAGGGUUUUGGGUAGAAAACAGGCAAGUAUAUGACUUGAGUCAAGAGGAGUUCAGAGGAAACGCUGGGAAUGAACUUGGGGUGUAACCUCAAAGAAACCUUAUCCUUAUGAAAGACCUUGUCUGGAGGGUCUGCCAUAAGGGCGCCGAGCUCAUCGAGUCUUGUGGAGGUGAUUGUAGUCAGGAAGGCCACCUUCAGAGACAGAUAAAGGAGCAGGAAGCCAAAGAUUCAAAAGGAGGAUUCGUGAGUGCUGACAACACCAGAUUGAGGUCCCAGGUUCGUGCCAGUUCUGGUACCAGAGGCAGUGUUCUGGUAAGUCCUUUUCAAAAACCUUGAAGUCAGAGAGUGGGUGAAGACUGAAUAGAUCACCACCACAGUAUGGAAAGCGUUGAUUGCUGUGAAAUGCACACAGUAAGCUUAGAGAUAGGCCUCAGUUCUUUAGGGAAAGGAGGUAGUCCAAAAUGGUAGGGCUCCCAGUGCUUUGGAGGUAUUGGGCGACGUUGGCACCAGAUAGAAAAUAUUUCCAUUUAACGGCGUAACAUUUCUCAUGGAGAUCUUCCUGAUGUUAUUAGAAGAUGUGUUGUACCCCCCUGUGAACAUGACCUUUCUAAGCUUGUUGUCUAUCCAAAUACAAGGCUUAUAGAUGGAGGAAUGCUGGGUUGGAAUGGUUGGUCUUGCCUUUGUCCUGAGUCAGCAGGUUUGGAAACUGCUGGAGUCAUAGGCACAGACAUGCUGCUGCAUGAAGGAUGCUGGUGAACCAAAACUGCCUCAGGCAGCAGGGUGCCAUCAGAAUUACCAGUGCUUUGUCCUGCUUUAUUUUUCUCAGUAUUCAAGAUAAGAGGGAUGGGUGGGUAUACGUUAGUGGCUCUGAACAGUGAAUUAGGACCUAAGCUGCUUGGGAGUAGUAGGCUUGGCAUUUUUUCUUCUCUUGGGACAUGAAGAGGUUCCACGCUGGAAAUCCCCACUGUCGAAAGAUGUUUUGUACCACCCAGUCGUGCAGUCCCCACUUGUGUUCACUGUUGAAAUGCCUGCCGAGACUGUUCGCCAACAUGUUUGUUACUCCCGGGAGGUGCACUACCAAGAUGAUGAUCUGGUGUUGGAUGCACCAGAUUCAGAAUUUGGUCACCUCUGUUCACAGAGGGGUGGACCUCACUCCUUCCUGUUUGUUGACAUAGUAUAUUAUGGUUAUAAUGUCUGACAUGACCUGAACAUGCAGGGCACAGAUGAAAGGAACCUUUUGCAGGCUUCAUGUACUGCUCUCAGUUCAAGGAGUUUGAUGCGAGGGUGGUUAUCCUGAAUCUUGAACAGCGUAUGAAGAUGUUCAGUUGUCUAAGGAGCAGGAUGGGUCUCCAGCCUCCCUUCUGUUUGGGAACGAAGAAGCAUCUCCAGUGAAAACCCGUCCCCCUGUGUCAAGGAGGCAGGGUUCGACAGUUGCUAGCUGGAUCAGGGAGUCUACCUUCUGUCUGAAGAUCCUCUUGUGAGAGGGAUCCGUGAAGAAGGAUGGGGAAGGGGGUUUUGUGAAAGGGAUGGAAGGAAGUUCUAUUGUGUAGCUGCUGGAGAUGAUCUUUAGGACCCAUCUGUCUGACACAAUAUGAUGCAGUACUGGAAAGAAACUGGCUAGGUGGCCAC